UGGGGAAUUUUGGACAAUGGGCGAAAGCCUGAUCCAGCCAUGCCGCGUGAGUGAAGAAGGCCUUCGGGUUGUAAAGCUCUUUUAGCCGGAAAGAAAGAGUCGCAAUGAAUAAUUGUGAUUUAUGACGGUACCGACAGAAUAAGCACCGGCCAACUACGUGCCAGCAGCCGCGGUAAUACGUAGGGUGCGAGCGUUAAUCGGAAUUACUGGGCGUAAAGGGUGCGCAGGCGGUUUUGCAAGUCAGAUGUGAAAGCCCCGGGCUUAACCUGGGAAUUGCGUUUGAAACUACAAGGCUAGAGUGCAGCAGAGGGGAGUGGAAUUCCAUGUGUAGCAGUGAAAUGCGUAGAGAUGUGGAAGAAAACCGAUGGCGAAGGCAGCUCCCUGGGUUGACACUGACGCUCAUGCACGAAAGCGUGGGGAGCAAACA
rnacentral:rRNA from 1 species